UACGUAGGGGGGCAAGCGUUGUCCGGAUUUAUUGGGCGUAAAGGGUGUGUAGGUGGCGCCGUAAGUCAGGUGUGAAAUUUCGGAGCUCAACUCCGAAACUGCAUUUGAUACUGCGGUGCUUGAGGACUGGAGAGGAGACUGGAAUUUACGGUGUAGCAGUGAAAUGCGUAGAUAUCGUAAGGAAGACCAGUGGCGAAGGCGGGUCUCUGGACAGUUCCUGACACUGAGACACGAAGGCCAGGGGAGCAAACGGG
rnacentral:rRNA from 1 species